rnacentral:lncRNA from 1 species
AAAUUAAUGUGAAUUAGCAUGCUAUCAUGUGUUUAUGAGGCAUUUGUACAUAUAUGGAACCUUUAAUGAUGGAUUGGAACAUGUUUAAACUGAUAAAAAUGAAGGUUAGUUGAUGCUAUGCAAAAUAGAGUAUGUUACUAGAGUUGUUCCCGGUAGGGCACAACUGCGCCCAGUUUAUACUAGGGUGCUGGCGCCGAACCCCAGAACCAGAUUCUGGUUUCUGUUUGGCUAGGUUGUGGCUAACUCGAUUCUACGACUUACGUAUACAUAACAAAGAGGUAUAAUAUGUUUUAUAAAGCUUCCUUAUGAGUUAUGAAGUGAUCACCAUGAUUUAGUAGGAGAGUUUUAAUAAAAAUAUUUAAAGUGUUGAAAACAAACCUUAAUGGAACUCAUGUGCUAUAAGUACUGUGUGGCGACCCCAAAUCCGGGUACUUGCAACCCGAACUCGGUUCUCCACGAUACCAUUUCUUUAAGCUGAAUAAUACUAAAUAAAAAUACAUUCGAACUUAAUUUACAUACAUCAAAGUUUACUUCCCCAGGUACGUGACCUUCAAAUACAUUCCUUACAAUUCCUGACAAUAGAUUCCAUUGUCUUACUAACUAUAACCAUUAACUCAUACUAAAUCUCAUUCGAACAGCUUUUCUUUUCCCUUGUUCGUGCCUGAGCCUUCAGGUCGAUCGUACGUAACUGAAAACAUUUAGUUUAAGCAAGGAUGAGCAUUUGAGUGCCCAGCAAGUAAUAGCAAUUAUAUAUAUAAGCUGAAAGAAUAUAAGUAUUCUCUUUACAUAACACUUCUACAACGAAUAGAAAGUUGUGAAGUAAUCUGUACUGAUAAAAAAUUCACAUAACAACUCUCUUUCAAAUUCUUGAAAUGAGGCUCCACCCGUGAAUAGGGUUUAAGAAACAUACUAUGAACAUNN